rnacentral:rRNA from 1 species
GUGAGGAAUUUUGCCCAAUGGGGGAAACCCUGAGGCAGCAACGCCGCGUGAGUGAAGAAGGCCUUCGGGUCGUAAAGCUCUGUCAAGUGGGAAAAAGAUUUUACGGUAAACAGCCGUGAAGUUUGAUGGUACCACUGGAGGAAGCACCGGCUAACUCCGUGCCAGCAGCCGCGGUAAUACGGAGGGUGCUAGCGUUAUUCGGAAUUAUUGGGCGUAAAGCGCGUGCAGGCGGUUCGGCAAGUCAGAUGUGAAAGCCCUGGGCUUAACCCAGGAAGUGCAUUUGAAACUAUCGAGCUUGAGUAUGGGAGAGGAGAGUGGAAUUCCCAGUGUAGAGGUGAAAUUCGUAGAUAUUGGGAGGAACACCCGUGGCGAAGGCGACUCUCUGGACCAAUACUGACGCUGAGACGCGAAAGCGUGGGGAGCAAACAGGAUUAGAAACCCCUGUAGUCC